AGCCACAGCCAUAUCACCCUGCAGCCCAAGACUGGUUGCCCACUGAAGCUAAGCAGGGUUGAGCCUGGUCAGUACCUGGAUGGGAGACCUCCUGGGAAAACUAGAUUGCUGUUGAAA
rnacentral:rRNA from 1 species